UACAGAGGUCUCGAGCGUUGUUCGGAUUCAUUGGGCGUAAAGGGUGCGUAGGUGGCGCCCGUAAGUCGGGUGUGAAAUUUCGGAGCUUAACUCCGAAACUGCAUUCGAUACUGCGGUGCUUGAGGACUGGAGAGGAGACUGGAAUUCAUGGUGUAGCAGUGAAAUGCGUAGAGAUCAUGAGGAAGACCAGUGGCGAAGGCGGGUCUCUGGACAGUUCCUGACACUGAGGCACGAAGGCCAGGGGAGCAAACGGG
rnacentral:rRNA from 1 species